rnacentral:rRNA from 1 species
CAGUCGCCGCGGUAAUACGAAGGGGGCUAGCGUUGUUCGGAAUUACUGGGCGUAAAGCGCACGUAGGCGGAUACUUAAGUUAGGGGUGAAAUCCCAGGGCUCAACCCUGGAACUGCCUUUAAUACUGGGUAUCUUGAGUUCGAGAGAGGUAAGUGGAAUUCCGAGUGUAGAGGUGAAAUUCGUAGAUAUUCGGAGGAACACCAGUGGCGAAGGCGGCUUACUGGCUCGAUACUGACGCUGAGGUGCGAAAGCGUGGGGAGCAAACAGGAUUAGAUACCCGAGUAGUCCCUGUCUCUUAUAC